GUGCUCACUUCAGCAAUACGUAUAAAAUCUGAAUGAUACAGAGCAAAUCAGCAUGGCCCCUGUGCAAGGAUGACAGGCAAAUUUGUGAAGCCUUCUAUAUCUAA